rnacentral:sRNA from 1 species
CCACCGCGACCGCCACUGCGACUGCCGCCACGGCCGGGCUGAGCCCUUAGGGAGCGAGAGUGGGAGGCGGCCCCUGACUCCGCGCCGACCCCCGCCCCCCGCCCCGCCGCCACCCCGGCGCCCCCGCCCCAGCGGCUGGCCGGCCGCAUGCUGCAGAUGGUGAAGACCCUGGCCCAGUUCACCAUCGCGCUGGAAGACAUGCGCGAUAUGGGCCCAGCCGCCACCUCCGGGGAGCCUGCCGGGGGCAGCAGCACUGACGCCGAGGAGCCUGGGGAGGCCCAGGACAUGCGGAAGCACGUGGCCAUGACCCUGCUGGACACAGAGCAGUCGUAUGUGGAGUCGCUGCGCACCCUGAUGCAGGGCUACAUGCAGCCGCUGAAGCAGCCAGAGAACUCCAUGCUCUGUGACCCUUCACUGGUGGACGAGAUCUUCGACCAGAUCCCCGAGCUCCUGGAGCACCACGAGCAAUUCCUGGAGCAGGUUCGGCACUGCAUGCAGACCUGGCAUGCCCAGCAGAAGGUGGGAGCCCUGCUCGUCCAGUCGGUGAGUGGCCCCGCUGCUGCCAAUUCCCACAAGCACAGGCCCUCCUGGAAGGGGCUGGAUGUGGCCACGGACCCCACCCCCACCCAUCCCACCUGGAUACUGACUCUGUUUCCAGAUCUGACCAUAGAACUUGGCUAGACAUUGGUACUUACCCCAGCCCCUGGGUGGACCUGAACUUGGACACUCCCCUACCCCAAAGCUUGGCCAGACUCUGGCACGGACUCCGACCCCAGCCAGACACUGACUCUGA